rnacentral:rRNA from 1 species
AUGGUUGUAUGGCUGCUGUUUCUCAUUUUUGUCAGUGGCCUUCAUAAUCCCGGAUUAACUAGCUUAGCUGUUCUUCUGAUUCAUGGGAGGCCAAGACCGAUGUCUGGGAGUUUCGCUGAUAGCGCCUUCUUUACUAGUGGAGGUGCUUCAUUAGUAACUUGCCACACAGACAAAUUGAUUUCUCCUUUUCUGUUUGUUCAUGUGUUGAUGUUCUGUUGGUUUGAUUCGGGGAGCUCAGUCCCAUUGUCCGGCCGCCGUUCUCUUGGUGGAUCUGAGUUUACCAAGCUCCCGAAAGGUAUUCAGGUGGCGCUUAGAGCACAAAUCCGUCUGAUGGAUCUUGGGUUACGCUCGCCCCCAAAUUCCUGUUUAAUCUUUCUUCAUGCUUUCUUUUGUCUUGUAUAA